rnacentral:rRNA from 1 species
GACGAACGCUGGCGGCGUGCUUAACACAUGCAAGUCGAACGAAGUGGCGAACGGGUGAGUAACGCGUACUCAACCUUCCCUUCAGUGGGGGACAACAGUUGGAAACGACUGCUAAUACCGCAUAAUGAAGGAGGGGAUUGCGUGUGAUUGGCUGGUUGGAGGGGUAACGCCCCACCAAGGCGAUGUUCAGUAGCCGGUCUGAGAGGGUGAACGGCCACAUUGGGACUGAGACACGGCCCAGACUCCUACGGGAGGCAGCAGUGGGGAAUCUUCCGCAAUGGACGAAAGUCUGACGGAGCAACGCCGCGUGAGUGAUGACGGCCUUCGGGUUGUAAAGCUCUGUUAAUCGGGACGCGGUACCGGAAUAGAAAGCCACGGCUAACUACGUGCCAGCAGCCGCGGUAAUAC